rnacentral:lncRNA from 1 species
UCGAACCAGACAAGAGGGAGGGGGCGACCAGGUUCUCCAAAACCCUAAUAUCCACAAAACUCAUCAAUUGAAGGUUCAAAUCUGAUCCAAAACAAAAUCCGAGCUAAGAUUAGUGAUCCUCACUGCAAGAGGGUUACAAGGAAAGGAAGCCGGAGCAUCGAGCGGGCAAACCGGUGUGGACGCACGUUUGAAGGGCUUGCUUUGAAGGUGAUAUUGGGGACAAUCCGGAGGGCGAUCAAGCAUGUUUGAAGAAACGAACACGAACUUUUGAAGCUUCCGCGAAUAUUUAAACAUGUUUAAAACAAUGUCUAUUACUUAUCCAUAA